rnacentral:rRNA from 1 species
CAAAACGACUCUCGGCAACGGAUAUCUCGGCUCUCGCAUCGAUGAAGAACGUAGCGAAAUGCGAUACGUGGUGUUAAUUGCAGAAUCCCGUGAACCAUCGAGUUUUUGAACGCAAGUUGCGCCCGAAGCCUUCUGGUUGAGGGCACGUCUGCCUGGG